rnacentral:rRNA from 1 species
AGGGUUCGAUUCUGGCUCAGAACGAACGCUGGCGGCAGGCUUAACACAUGCAAGUCGAACGAUAUAGUGGCAGACGGGUGAGUAACGCGUGGAAACGUGCCUUUCACUACGGAAUAGCUUUUGGAAACGAAAGGUAAUACCGUAUACGCCCUCCGGGGGAAAGAUUUAUCGGUGAAAGAUCGGUCCGCGUUAGAUUAGCUAGUUGGUGAGGUAACGGCUCACCAAGGCUACGAUCUAUAGCUGGUCUGAGAGGAUGACCAGCCGCACUGGGACUGAGACACGGCCCAGACUCCUACGGGAGGCAGCAGUGGGGAAUAUUGCACAAUGGGCGCAAGCCUGAUGCAGCCAUGCCGCGUGAAUGAUGAAGGCCUUAGGGUUGUAAAAUUCUUUCGCCAGGGAUGAUAAUGACAGUACCUGGUAAAGAAGCCCCGGCUAACUUCGUGCCAGCAGCCGCGGUAAUACGAAGGGGGCUAGCGUUGUUCGGAAUUACUGGGCGUAAAGCGCACGUAGGCGGACUUUUAAGUCAGAUGUGAAAUCCCGAGGCUCAACCUCGGAACUGCAUUUGAAACUGGGAGUCUAGAGAUCAGGAGAGGUUAGCGGAAUACCGAGUGUAGAGGUGAAAUUCGUAGAUAUUCGGUGGAACACCAGUGGCGAAGGCGGCUAACUGGACUGAUACUGACGCUGAGGUGCGAAAGUGUGGGGAGCAAACAGGAUUAGAUACCCUGGUAGUCCACACCGUAAACGAUGAGUGCUAGUUGUCUGCAGGCAUGCCUGUAGGUGACGCAGCUAACGCAUUAAGCACUCCGCCUGGGGAGUACGGCCGCAAGGUUAAAACUCAAAGAAAUUGACGGGGGCCCGCACAAGCGGUGGAGCAUGUGGUUUAAUUCGAAGCAACGCGCAGAACCUUACCUACGCUUGACAUGCCCGGACGAUUUCCAGAGAUGGAUCUCUCCCUUCGGGGCCGGUGCACAGGUGCUGCAUGGCUGUCGUCAGCUCGUGUCGUGAGAUGUUGGGUUAAGUCCCGCAACGAGCGCAACCCUCAUCCUUAGUUGCCAUCACGUUUGGGUGGGCACUCUAGGGAAACUGCCGGUGCUAAGCCGGAGGAAGGCGGGGAUGACGUCAAGUCCUCAUGGCCCUUACGCGUAGGGCUACACACGUGCUACAAUGGCGGUGACAAUGGGAUAAUCCCCAAAAACCAUCUCAGUUCGGAUUGUCGGCUGCAACUCGCCGGCAUGAAGUUGGAAUCGCUAGUAAUCGUGGAUCAGCAUGCCACGGUGAAUACGUUCCCGGGCCUUGUACACACCGCCCGUCACACCAUGGGAGUUGGAUCUACCCGAAGAUUGUGAGCUAACUUCGGAGGCAGCAAGCCACGGUAGGUUCAGCGACUGGGGUGAAGUCGUAACAAGGUAGCC